rnacentral:miRNA from 1 species
UGUCCAGUAGCACCUUAGAGACCAACUAUGUUUGUUCUGGGUAUAAGCUUUCGUGCGCAUGCACACAAAAGCUUAUACCCAGAACAAACUUAGUUGGUCUCUAAGGUGCUACUGGACA